rnacentral:rRNA from 1 species
AGCUAUAUGUGUUAAUAUAUAGUUAUUUCUGCUCCAUGAAUGUUAAAUAGCCGCAGUACUCUGACUGUGCAAAGGUAGCAUAAUCAGUUGGCUUAUAAUUGAAGUCUGGUAUGAAUGAAUAUAUGGGUGGUAGCUGUCUUAAGUGUAUUUUCUUAAAUUUAUUAAACAAGUGAAAAUACUUGUAUUUAUAAAAAAGACGAGAAGACCCUAGAAGUUUUAAAUGGUUUUUGUUGGGGCGACAUAAUUACAUAUAACUAAUUUUAUAAAACAUGACAUACAUAGUAAGAAUAAGCUACUCUAGGGAUAACAGCAUAAUUUUAAUAGUUUGUGACCUCGAUGUUGGACUAGGUAUUUUAUCCUUUAGACAAAGAUAAAAAAUGCUCUGUUCGAGCAGUUACACCUACAU